GUGUAUAUAGAUGAAGCAAACUGAAGGAUAUACUAUCAAAUGUGGAAAAGUUUUGUCAUCUGCAGUAGAUAAUUAGUAUUAAAUGGAUGAUGAAUAAGAUAGCCCUGGAGAAAUUUAGCUAAACAAAAACUUCCCAUUGAUAGGUCUCUUCGCUAAUGGCAGGAGAAGUGGGGGAUAUAUUAUGGUAACGUUUCAUUACCCCCAGCAACGACAUUGCCACUUAGUUACCAAGGUUUAAUAAGCUCUCAUGUUUCUUCUAUUUCAAGUAUCAUGAAAGGAGAUAAAAAAAAAGAUUAAAAACAACAAACGAUCUUGGUAAAUACAUAAUAGAUCAUUCAGUCAUAAAAAUGUAGUGUGACGUUUCUUCUCAUGUCGAUAAAUUCAACCUUUGUCGAGUCUUUCUCAGAUGACUAGAAUUUUAAUGAGCCUGCCUUUUCUCUAUUUUUAUGAUUAUGGAGUGUUUGGUAAGUGGGGUUUAUGAUAAGCAAUACAAGCACUAAACCACGUCUUCACAGAGAUUGCAUCUGAUACAUCGGAAUCAUUUUUUUGUCAAUGGUGGAACAGAAUCCUCCUGGCAUUUGUCAGUAAAGAAACGAGAAACAAACAAACAUGGGAGGUAAGCGAUGGUUUACACAGGGAUAAAGUAACCCCUCAGCAAAGCAAAAAUACGGUCAUUCUGGAAACUGAGUAAUUUUCUGAAGUGUGUGAUUUAUCAAACAGCCAUCAGAAGGCACGGUAGGAGAUUUGGGGGCAGGUGUCCAUUGGGGCUGGAUAUACUUCUGUAAUCAUCAAUUCCACUGGCUUGUCAUCAGCACACAUAGGUGUUCAAGCUUUCAAGACGCUAAAAAAAACCUCCCAGAUAACACAAAAGGGAUAUUAGUUUUAUGCAUGUAUUUUUUACAGAACCAUCUUCUAUUUCUCCGCUUGUGAAAAAUGGUGAUCAAUCUUGGAUAUACAACAUGUUUUCAUUGGAAUUCUGAUGUCAAUAAAUCUGGGUGGAAAUAAUAUUCUAUGCCAGUGACAAGUACUUUUUCUCUAAUGGAAAAGUUUUUUUUCGGGGAGAGAAAAUAAAAAUAUAUCAUUGGGAUGAAGAAUAUUUUUUGGACUGGAGAUUGGAAUUAUCUACCCUGGCAGUCAGUUUGGCUGGUCCCUAUCUUGACUAGUUCCUACUGGAUGAGAAAGCAGGUGAAGAAAUGCAAUUUAUUUGUCAGGGAUUAUACAGGACUUCAAAAUCUCCAAUUGGUUGGCUAAUGGAUAUAACCUGUGAUGGUUUAGAAGGUCCUAAUUGCUUCUAAUGGGCUUGUGGUGUUGCUAAAGCUUACAGCAUGUGGGGUUCACACAACUAGGAGACAUGAACACACAACAUGGGGAGUCGAUUCAAAGACGGAUUAAAAAGGAACAUCAGAUUAAAAUCUUUACAGUAUAUGUGUCUCAGAUUGGAAGAGAGGAAAUUUACCAUCUGCACCUUGAGAAGCAUAAAACCGGCAAAUCCAUUAUGUGGAUCUGGUCAUGAGUGUUUCCAAGGCAACAACAGUUCUGAAGUGAAAUAUGGAUGGUGCUUGGAAACCAGGGAUUACAAUUUUUCCGUCUUCACUCAGGCUCAGCACAGAGAAACCCCAGCACGCCAAAGGAUUAAUUAUGUUCUGCUUUACUGACAAGUCUGACAUGAAUAUUUCAGCAAUUAUCCACCAAACUGAUCAUAGAAGACAAAAGCCAUUGAAGAGACAGCCAACCCAAACGGACCCAUUCCAUGCUGACAAAACAUCCCAUCUUUUUGUGUUUUGGGAGAGGACCUGAAUAAGAUUCACAACCAGCAAUACUAGGUCUACUGAGUGGCUCAUUAAGUUUAUUGGCGUGAAGGAGGCUUGAUUUCAAUUCAUCAAGAUCCCAGAGCAGGCUUUCAUCAAAUUUACCAUGAAAUUUAAUGAAAAAAUGCAUUCCUUUGAGAGAGCAAUGCGAUACUCUACAUUUUGGAUUAUGUGAACAAGAAAUCAUCUAUAAUCAUACACCCUUGUCAAAGGAGAAACCACUAGAUGUUAUCUGUACAAGCAGUGAGAAGGAACACCAUUUCAGAAGUGUACAAUUUCGGGAAAAUGUGUGAUAUAUUCUGAAAUUUAGCAAAAGAGUGAUUAUGCAAUGGAAAUGAAGUUAAACAUCAGGAGGAUUUUUAACCAUGAGAGUACAAAAAAAAAGACAUGAUCGUUUUCAAUAGCAUUUAAUUACUGGAGCUAAAAGAGAUGACUUCACAGGCUUGUGAUCGCAAAUCAAACGGAAUUCAGGCCAUUUUCCUAUUACAAGGUAAGUCAAUACCUCACUUCAUUAAUUUGAUGUUUAUUAUCAAAUAACAAGUUUUUAUAUUUUAUGGGAUUAAUUUCCCCGUUUUUUUUAUUGGAGAAAAAAAAAAUACCUGUUCCUUUUUUUUUAACUGAAUACUAUAGAAUUUCAGACAUUGAUAAACCUUGAGCAAUAUUAACAACCCCUUCUUUGAGAGCUGAUUACUAGGUUGUGUGUAAUGAUCGAUUUCAAAAUUUCAUUUUCUUUCCUAUUCAUCUCUUUGCAACUAGAACUGCCUAAUGAAACAUUCCUGGGAACCCUUGAAAAUGCAAUAGCACAUUGGGUUUCCCAGUCUUAAUCUCUCACCAACCCAGAAGGUCUAACUUAUUUCUCUUGUUCAAAGCAAUAAUUUAAAGCAGCCUUCAAUUUAGUUAUGCUAAUGGACUUUCAAGACUAAUUUCCUGCAAUUUAUCCAUCCUCCUUUUCAUAUCUUUGUAGUCUAACAACUCUACUCUCUGAAUUCUUUUUUCUACAAGUUUUACAAUUUUCUGCUUUCAAUUUGUCAUCGCCAAAAUGCAUUGGAAAAUACACUCUUGUGAAAAUAUUUACUCAAAACUUCCUCCCCAUUAUUUUCAAUUAAUUGGUUUCGGUAAGGCCUAUGCAAACAAACUCAAAUCCAAUUACACUUUAUUUUGAGUGUCUUUGAAGCCUAAACACCCUCUGAUAAUUGGUAUACAUUUAUUUUCUCAAUGUCCCUCUUUUCUUCUAAUCAACACAGGGUUUCAGGAUCAUGUCUAUAACACAAAUGAAGCCUUCUAUUUCCCUUUGGCACCCAACUUAAAAGGAUGUUGAUAAACUAAAUUUGAUCGCUGCAGCCAAGUCAACUUUUCUUCUGCAAUGUUCAAUUACCUUUCUUCCCCCAGAUAUUCAAUUACUUUCCAAAUCAAUUUACCAUCUUCCCCACUGUGCACAAAAUGGAGUUGUUAUUUAUGGAGAUUUUAGUUAUCCUUCUUGCAACGGACAAGAAUUCAAGAGUUGUCUGCUCUUUAAUCAAAUUUCACAAAAGUAGCCAUCUGGAGUUGUCUUUCUUUGUUAAUUUUUCUUCACGCUUUAUAAGAAAUAAACAAAAACAAACAUUUGAUGUAUUACUCCUUUAUUUCAAAGUUUCCUGAAAAUGAACAUGUCCUGUGAUUGGUUAAAAAAGCCGUAGAGAGUUACUUCCCAUUUGUUGUGUUAGUUUGGAAUGAGUACAGACAACAUUUAUAAAUUGCUUUAGCAGAAGCUUAUAAGCAAAGGAAAAUAGUAAUAUAGGGUUAAUACUACAAACAAGUCAGGACUUUGUCUAAGUGGUUAAAUCUCCUGAUUAAUAUGACAUACAAUUAGAUGGAAUGUUUUGUGAAGAAAUUAA